rnacentral:lncRNA from 1 species
AAAAGCUCCCCUACUGAGCACCUUGUGACCCUCACUCCUGCCUGCCAGAGAACAACCCCCUUUUUCCUUUACCUACCCAAAUCCUAUAAAACAGCCCCACCCCAUCUCCCUUUGCUGACUCUCUUUGGACUCAGCCCGCCUGCACCCAGGUAAUUAAAUCUUUAUUGCUCACACAAAGCCUGUUUGGUGAUCUCUUCACAGGGAUGCGCAUGAAAGAACGUGCCACAGAAAAUGAGACACCUCAAUGAGGGUUGUGGAAAAUGCACUAGAAUCAACAAACAUGGGGACUAAUUCAACUCGGAUAUCACGUCUUCAGAGAAGUUUUUCCUGCCCUCCUCUCCCUGUAGAAUUAAGUAUUCUUCCACUGUGCCACCCUCUAACUUGUGCUCAUAUCUUCCUCUAUUGUAGUUAUGUGUUCACAUCCCUGUUGUUUUUGUACCGGCUUCUCCCAAAGGGAGACAUUUAGUCUUAUUCUUCCUGGUAACUUUAGCACAGACCUGGCAGAUUGUUGACACUCAACGAAUGUUUAUCGACUCAAAUGCGUUCAGUUGAACAUUGACCUUUGAUCAACUCUGGGAAAAGUCUGCAAAGCUAGUUAGGACAUUCAGAAAUUCAUUUCAUUUCAAUCCUAACUAAAUAAAUUAUUGAAGUCUC